rnacentral:lncRNA from 1 species
GUGCGGCGGGGGCUGCGGAGUGCUCCCUCCAAGACCGGUUGCACCCCGCUUUCCUGGCCAGGACUCUGGGCGCAGGUCCACAGAGCGAGGGGAAAGGGUCACUGUGGAUCAAGCCAGGCUCCUCUGAGCAGUCCAGGAUCUAUUUACAGAGAGCAGCAAGUUCCUGGGACAGAGGAGACAGAAGGGAAUUUCCAGGUUCUUCAGGACGUUCACAACCACACUGAGAAGCAUCUUUGCAGAUAAGUAUUUAAACUUACCAGCCCAUAGCCUACCAGCCUGCCCUCUUCUGGUCUGUGCAGGAAAGUGUAGUAUCCUAGAAUACCAAAGUGGGAGGGGAAAUGGGUGAUGUAGCUCAUUCUCUUUUCUACCUCUAUGGAAGAAAGAAAGAGCCUGUCCCCAUUUUGUGGGGUCCCAGAAAGGGUGAUUUUCACACUUCACAUUUGGCAUUAGGGCUAGUAUUUUACAAACAUUACCGUCUGGAACUUUUGAAGGCUGAGUUAAAUGACUUCAUCUUGUGUACUUGUAGAACUGCUAUUAGAAGGAGGCUGGGACUCCCUGAUGAUGUGA